GAUGAACGCUGGCGGCGUGCUUAACACAUGCAAGUCGAACGAUGAUGCCCAGCUUGCUGGGUGGUUUAGUGGCGAACGGGUGAGUAACACGUGAGUAACCUGCCCUUGACUCUGGGAUAAGCCUGGGAAACUGGGUCUAAUACCGGAUACGACCAUCUGGCGCAUGUCAUGGUGGUGGAAAGCUUUUGUGGUUUUGGAUGGACUCGCGGCCUAUCAGCUUGUUGGUGGGGUAAUGGCCUACCAAGGCGACGACGGGUAGCCGGCCUGAGAGGGUGACCGGCCACACGAGGACUGAGAGACGGCCCAGAAGCCUACGGGAGGCAGCAGUGGGGAAUAUUGCACAAUGGGGGCAAGCCUGAUGCAGCGACGCCGCGUGAGGGAUGACGGCCUUCGGGUGGUAAACCUCUUUCAGUAGGGAAGAAGCGAAAGUGACGGUACCUGCAGAAGAAGCGCCGGCUAACUACGUG
rnacentral:rRNA from 1 species